UUCUCUCCUGCCUGCAAAUAUGGCAUCAGGAAACAUAAACACCUACAAGAUAAAAGCAAAACCUAAUCCUAGAAAAACAAGCCUGACUAUUUACUCACCCAGAUCUAACUCUGGACUAGACCCAUGCAACUCACACCAGAGCCUACCAGCAGCUACUGCUGGUCAUGCUGCUAUGAGAACUGCCUUCACAGAGAGCCUAAAAAUCAGGCAGGAAAUCAGAUACAAAGAAGAACAUGGGGUAACAAGACAGUGACACUUUCCUGUAAGAAGACCAUAAAUCUUUAUACAAGGGGGCGGACUGGAGAACGUCAGGGGUUUCCAUGUGUGAGUGUUUAAAAUAAAACCUUAUUCAUGCUGGAGUGGGGAAGAAAAGAACUGGCAAGCUGGGAACACAAAAAGAAAAAAGGAGGAACCUUAAAAUAUGAGGUUUGACUGGGUCUUGAGCUCUGAAGAACACUAUAUCUCUAGGAAGGAGGGAGGAGGGCGGAUGCCCCGGCGGUCUCUCGGCGGGGACAUGCUGCCAUCCAGCGGCUGCGGCCACGCGGCCCCGAGGAUGUGGAUGUCCCGGAGCACCGCGCCCCGCGCUGCCCCCUGGGGGCAGAGGAUGCUUCGAGGAGUGGUGUUGGGGUCCGACGCCCCCCUGCCCCACUGCUCUUGUAGCCCUUCAGCAAAAAUGUUCAUGGAAGAGAGAGUCACUUACAGCCAUUCAUGCAAUUAUGGUGGCUUGGAGGAAACAGAUGAUUUGACAUGGAGUAGAUUUGCAGCCAGGACCCCAUUGCAAGCAGGACCUGAGUUCUUUGGAAGAGUCAUGAGCUGGGGGUGAUUGCCCUGUGAAGAGAGUAAAGAGUUCCCCAGCAAUCUGCAUUCAACCUUUGAAGUACUUUGGAAGCUGUGUAUAGAAGAUACCAGGGCAAUUUUGUGAACUGGAAAUGUAAAUUAGCAGAGCCGAACCUUCCUUAUUAAUGCUUCAAAAGACAUCAAAUCCCCUAACAAAGGACAGUCAGUACAGAGCAGGGCUCUCUCAUUGAUCGACUUGUCAUUUUUCUAUCUCAGCAUCACACAGGAGUGGGGAAUACAGGUGCUUUCGGGAGAAAUCCCCCAGCUCACAAAUCUGCCUUCUGUCCAGAAAGUAGGUCUCACUGGUGCAUAAUAAACGUGACAGCCUGGUAAAUAUUGAGGUGAGAGAGCACAGAUCCAUUCUGGUUCAGCACACUUGUGCAGCUACCAAAGACGGCACCAGGUUUCUAUGUGAGAUUACAACCCCAUAAUUCCAACAGAAUCACAUCAAACCCUCUCAAGGGGACAAAAAGUUUGCACAACUACAAGUUCAGUUGGACCAAGCUCAAUGGAGGGACUGGGUGACAUGAUCCCCCAAAGCUGGCUGGCAGUUCCCUGGCUCUGAAGCAAAUGAGAUGAUGCUGCAGACUGCUUUCCUAGCUACUUAAAGAUAAAAAGUACUUUAGAAUAGAGAAUAAUCCUCCAAAUCCUUAACUGAGUUACGAUUCUAGAGAAAGGAACAGAUCGUAUUUAUGAGAUGAAGAAUUACCUUGUCGUGUUCACAUCUUUUAAACCUCUGGUAUGAAAUAUUCACUCUUCUGAAGCCAAUCAAUGUUUCAGUGCCAAAGGAAGUGGGUGCAGGCUUUCAGGCACAGAAUAUCAAUGGCAAGUUAUGUGGUUGUACAAGUGAGAGCCAAAGAUCCUUUACUUUCUCUUGAGUUCAAAAGAGAAUAUGCAUCUAAUAUUGGAUGUUAGUAAAAGUGAGCAUCUUGUACAAGGUGAAUUUCACCUUAGCUGAAGAAGGGAAGAAGCAGGAUUAUAACUUUCAAAAUCUUCAGGAAGUGAAACGUGUUCAGUAUAUGCUGCUCUAAGGUUGUUAUUACUAUUUCCUACAUUCAGGAAACCAUCAAGUUUACAAUAGGAGCAAAUUCUCGGAUUGUCAGUUUAAAUUUUAAGUUUGAGGUUGCUAUUCAAUUUCAGGGUACUAUCUCAAGCCAGAGAUCUAAGCAUCAGAGAGCAAAAUCAAAUGGAGUCAGAGUAGAUUUAGCAGAACACUACAUUAUGGACUAAGGAGUCAAACAUAUGCAAACCUUCCGUCCUUACUAAGAAACUGCCUCACACCAUCCACCUGGGGGAUUGUCUUCAAGACCUAUCCUCUCCCCUACCAAGGUGGGAGAAGCUGUGCCAAUGGUGCAAGAAGGACCAAACACUGGACCACAGGCUGGAUGUAUUCCUUUUGUCUUGAACAUGGUACCAAGCAGACAUGCUGCCAGCUAGCAGUGUUGGAAGUCUUUGUUAGAGAAAGAGAGGGCACUCUCUGUAUUGUACAUGUUUAGGAACAGUGGUGUUACACAUUAACUAUCAGAAUGAAAUUUGCUUACACUAUUGUGAAAAAGGGUCUGCCUACAGUGGUCUCCAAUUUUAGAUUUGAUUUUCAGUCCACAUUCCUGACUUCAGUCCUCAUCAGUCAGUUUUGCCCCAGACUCUUGCAUUAUGAAGACUAAUUUACAUAUCCAAAUAAACAGCUCUCAAAGGAGAAAUUCAGGCUGACAUAAUGUAACUCAUCCUCAUCCUUUUAGAGCUAUUUUUGCAUAAAAAAAAGAUUAGCAAACAAAACCAAGGAGGUAAAGAAAGAAAUGUCAUGGAACCUCUGGGAUUUUUGAGAGACUACUCAACUAUCCUGUACAAUCAUGAAGAUGGGGUUGUGGGGAGGGAGAUUUCCCAGUUGACACGUUUCUCCACUUGUGAACAUGUUGAAAGAUCACUCAUAUGUUUUCAAUGAAGUCACUGACAGUCAAGAAUGCUGGAGGCAACAGCUGUUGGGGAUUGAUUUACCCCAAGGCUAUUUAAUCUCUCAGCCUCUCAUAAGGAUGCUUGCUAGGGGGAAGGUAAAGAAGCACAACUAAAAAUUGUAUUGCUUUCAGCAGCUGUUGUUAUUCCUGAAAGCCAAGAAAGGGUCAAAAAUAUGUGAUGAAAGUCUUGGAUUGUUAUCAGCUAUAGGGGUGGCCAAAGCUUACUGCUUCCUUUGGGAGUAAAGUUUCCUUUGUGGAAUGAAAUACAGUAAAAUUACUAACUCCCUUAGGCUUAGUUGCCUGGGAGUUACCAUGAAGUGUAUAUGUGCCUUGGAAUUUCCAGAAUUAUAAGUAUAUUAUGUCAGUAGGAAUGAUACAGGUUGUGAAAGGCAGCCGUUGUGUUCAGUAACAGGAGCUGAGACAAUCGGGUAGCAAGAAAAGAUAACAUAAAACAUUCAUUAAAAUGGUGGAAAAAAAAUGACUGAAAAGCAGAGUGCAGCUGCUGUUAUGUGUCAGUUACUAUUUCAGAAUGGUCUCCUUCUGUGAAACACUGGACUUUUAUGAAAUCAUAUUGUCCAACCAUGCAUCAGACCCCUGAAGUGUAAGGUAUUUGCCUACCUCGCUGAAAAUAAGAUACAUCCAUCUCCCAGCAGAGAUUCUUUUUGUAACCAUGCAUUUUUCACUCUUGGCUAGCAGAACUUUUCAGAGAGAAUUAGCAUGGAUUGCAUUUUCACUUGGGAAGGAAGCAAAAGUUGCAGUUCUGUUUCACCUAGGAUUUCAUGGCUGUGAAUAUGGGUGAUGCCUCGUGGCUUUAAGAGUGUGUAAUCAGCCACAGAACUUUUGUCUUUUCCCUAAAGCAAUCCAAGAUGUUUGUGACCGUGCCCCAUCCUGAACAUUAGCAGUGUACAGCCUUACAUCUUCUCAUCCCUCCCAAAUCCAUGGAGUGGCUCACUCAGGAUGUGUCUACACCAGGGUUUUCCUUGGCUCAAUAAUACACUUCUGAAGCAAAUCUCUCAUUAUCCCCACUUACCGUGUUUUGUAUCCCAUCAUGGAUCUGUUUUGGAAAGCCAGAUUUGUUCCAGAUCAAAAUGAAAGUGGAAAGUGCUCUCCAGGACCAUACCUCAUGUAUUGCAUCACAAAGGGCUCCAUGAAAAACUCCAGGCAAUGAGAGAAUGGGCCUGAAAGUCACAGCUAUCCUGGAAAUGGCUAUGUUCAGAGGAGGAUGAGUAUUCUUCAGGGCAGUGCUGUCUCCUUACACUAGCUGAGUUCUCAAGAGCAACACACAAGUCUUCAAUGACCAAAAAAAAUAAAAAAUAAAAAAAUUGAACACAGCAAACUUUGCUGAAUGUGGACCUAAAAACUCUUUAAAUAUUCUUUAGAUGCUGAAAAAAAAAAUGGCAAAGCUAAAGAAAAGAUAAUGCUGAAAAAUAAGUAGCGUGUUUGUUCAUAAAAAGUAUCUUUACACAAUUAACGGAAUCACAGUAUCAAAGAAUUGUAAAGGCUGGAAAAGGGACCUCUGGUGACGAUCAAGUCCAGCCCUCAUCACAGCACCUUGGGAUUAUUGCUUAGUCCUGAGGAUGCCCAGAACUUGGUGCAUAGCUAAAGUUCAUCCAACAAAUUAAAAACCUUUGGCUCUGAGAAAAAUGGAAAAGAGAAAUUUUGGGCAAGUGCUUUGGGACUACAAGGAAAGAAUAAUCAAAUUACUGAAAAUCCCUGUCCCACAAGUACUUACAAAAACAGAAUAGUAAUUUUUCUUGUGACUUUUCAGCACUUCUCCCUCUGGGAUAAAGUGAACAUGGGAAAGAGGAAAAAUGUAGAAAUUAAGACAAAUUAAUUAUGAACUGUGUCUGACAGAAUUCAAUAACUGUUUUUCUGCUGACUAUACCAAAGUUUGGAUUGGGCAGUUUUGGUCUUCAGAACAUUCGACAUCUACACAGUAGUCUGACUAGACAGAUUCCCAAUUCCUGUUUUUAUACACCUGCCAAGCUGACAGGCAUUCUAUGAUGGAAUAUGCAAGUCUUGUAACACAAUGCACUUACCCAACAAAAAGUGUCAUGAAAAGAUUAUUUGAUUUUCUAACAGCAGUCUUAAAC
ensembl:lncRNA